rnacentral:lncRNA from 1 species
CUGAGAAGAGAGCCAGGGAAAAUACCUAAACUAUUCUUCCGAGACAAUAGUUUCAUCCCAAGCAUCCUAACGUUACUUUUCAGGCAUUGCCAUUUGAGGGAGUUCCUAUAGAUGUCGCGGAUGAGUGGAGUGCACCGUCACAACAGAGCGUGAUUAUUCCUAGUCCUGUCCCAGGGACUCUAACCGCAUUGACAAUAUAUUAAGCGGAAUAUUGCUAUCUACCUGGCACGUUUGUGCUGAAGAUCUUAGAGCACUCU